rnacentral:rRNA from 1 species
GCACGCGGGUCUAAUCUACUGUGCCCAGACGAAGCCCGGGGUAUAUACUGUAAGGGGUGCGAAGCGUUAACUCGGAAUUACGUGGGCGUAAAGCGUGCGCAGGCGGUUAUGUAAGCCAGAUGUGAAAUCCCCGGG